rnacentral:lncRNA from 7 species
AGAGAGAGAGAGAGAGUUUUGUUUUCCCUCCUAAACAUCUGAGUACAGUAAAAUGAUCACAUACCUUUUGUAUGGAAUGUAGUUAUGGAGUUGCUAAUCCAGUCUUUUAUCUUGUGAACACAAGUAUAAUGUCAAGAUUGAAUAAUCUGCCUUUAUCUCCAGGGUAACAGCUAUGGAGGAAAUUCAAAUGGGACAGUUUUGUGAGCAUCUAAAAACUCUUGUUAAUUGAAAACGAUGCUGAAAUGCAUCUGGAAACCAAAGACUGGAAUGGGCCAGGCUUGCCUUGUGUCAGCAUGAGUGGCUGAGGACAAGAGUGUAGAAAAAUCUCUUCCAAGAAGCAAACAUUGUUCCAUCAGGGAGGCACAGCUGGGAUCUGUGGGAUGUCUGUCUGGUCUCGCUGUUGGGCAGCGACAGUGCAGCCAGUCUGCACUGUAAGGGAAUGCUGGGAGUGGCAGUGACCAUACAGCUAUGCUACUUAGGCUGCUCUGGGUGUACACAGUGCUUCUCAGCACAUCUAUUUUAGCUUUGUAGAUUUUGCACUUGAUUUCUGUCACAGCUGAACAGAAAACAACAGGCAGUUUCUGUGCAUACUCUUUGUUUCUGUGAAUUAUAUUAUAUCUAUACUUAAUGUAAAAGUACUUCUCACUUCAUUUCAAGAUAUGGGCUGAAGGAAGAUAAUUCAUGUAACAAAGCAUUUUCACUAGAUUGCGUCAAUUCAUUACCACUAAACUUUUUUUUCCCUAAACAUAGGUUUCAUUAGGAGUUGAAACCCAUAAGUUUAACCCAUAAUUCUAUCAUAAUACAUCAAAAUUAAAACCAUUGUUUGUAACUGGAAUUUUUAACUGAUCUGUUUUUUUUAAAGCUGAAGUCAGUAUUUUUAUUGAAGAAGUCAAACUAUUUGUAUGUUUUCUGCAGUCCAUUUUUGUUUUUUUUAGUUUACAUAUCUGUCAAAAUGUCGAAAUUUACAUUUGUUAGGAAAACAGGAAUUUACAGACUGUAAGCAUGUGGUAAACUGUUUGCUCAUCUCCAGUGUCAGCAAAUCUGUUGCAGGAUUACUGUCUGUUUUAAAGCAGUUCAGCACAAAUGAUCAUACUGACAAUUCCUAACCUGAGUACUUAAAUGCUGAAAUGUCUGUGAUAGUAGAUUGAUAACAAAGAGAGUAAUUAGAUAAAUUCUGCAAUACCUACUUAUGUUAAUUUAGUUCAUGGACACCCAAAUACAGCACAACAUUUACAUAUAAUCCCAUUAAAGCCAACUUC